rnacentral:rRNA from 1 species
GGUACCGUCAAACGUAUGAUCUAUUAAAUCAUACGCACUUCUUCCCUAUUGACAGAGCUUUACGACUCGAAAGCCUUCAUCACUCACGCGGCGUCGCUGCAUCAGGGUUUCCCCCAUUGUGCAAAAUUCCUCA